CCAAAGAGUCACGCGCUUUCAAUUGCCACGUGGAGUAUGAGAAGACAAACCGCGCGCGCAAGCACCGACCGUGCCUGUACGACCCGUCGCAGGUGUGCUUCACCGAGCACACGCAGAGCCAGGCCGCCUGGCUCUGUGCCAAGCCCUUCAAAGUCAUCUGUAUCUUCGUCUCUUUCCUCAGCUUUGACUACAAACUGGUGCAGAAGGUGUGCCCAGACUAUAACUUCCAGAGUGAGCACCCCUACUUCGGAUAGCGCCCCUCCCCAGCCAGUCCUGAGCCUCCCGCCAAAUCCCAGCCUCACUAGGUGGGACCCCCUUCCCAGUGUUCUGCCGCUCCUGUGGCCAUGUCGCCCACUCCUUCCACUCUGGGGGCGGAGGGGAAUGGCUUCUCGGGACCCUCAGCUAGCGUG
rnacentral:lncRNA from 1 species